rnacentral:tRNA from 1 species
AGUGGGUUAUUUUAGUGGUUAAGAGCUAUGGCUGCUAACCAAAAGGUUGGCAGUUCAAAUCCACCAGCCGCUC